rnacentral:rRNA from 1 species
UACAGAGGUCUCAAGCGUUUGUUCGGAUUCAUUGGGCGUAAAGGGUGCGUAGGUGGCGCGUUAAGUCAGGUGUGAAAUUUCGGAGCUUAACUCCGAAACUGCAUUUGAUACUGGCGUGCUUGAGGACUGGAGAGGAGACUGGAAUUCAUGGUGUAGCAGUGAAAUGCGUAGAGAUCAUGAGGAAGACCAGUGGCGAAGGCGGGUCUCUGGACAGUUCCUGACGCUGAGGCACGAAGGUCAGGGGAGCAAACGGG